rnacentral:rRNA from 1 species
UACGUAGGGGGCUAGCGUUGUCCGGAUUUAUUGGGCGUAAAGAGCGUGUAGGCGGCCAGGUAGGUCUGCUGUGAAAACUCGAGGCUCAACCUCGAGACGUCGGCGGAAACCAUCUGGCUAGAGUCCGGAAGAGGAGAGUGGAAUUCCUGGUGUAGCGGUGAAAUGCGCAGAUAUCAGGAAGAACACCCGUGGCGAAGGCGGCUCACUGGCCCGGUACUGACGCUGAGGCACGAAAGCGUGGGGAGCAAACAGG